rnacentral:rRNA from 1 species
GUCAUGGCUCAGGAUGAACGCUAGCGGCAGGCUUAACACAUGCAAGUCGAGGGGCAGCGCGGUUGUGGCAACACGACUGGCGGCGACCGGCGCAAGGGUGCGUAACGCGUGAGCGACAUGCCCGUCACCGGGGGAUAACCGGCGGAAACGCCGCCUAACCCCCCAUAGGACAGGGGACCGCAUGGCCUCUUGUUGAAAACUCUGGUGGUGCGGAUUGGCUCGCGUCCCAUUAGCUAGCCGGCGGGGUAACGGCCCACCGGGGCGACGAUGGGUAGGGGUUCUGAGAGGAAGGUCCCCCACAAUGGAACUGAGACACGGUCCAUACUCCUACGGGAGGCAGCAGUGAGGAAUAUUGGUCAAUGGGCGGAAGCCUGAACCAGCCAUGCCGCGUGCGGGAAGAAGGCCCUACGGGUUGUAAACCGCUUUUGGGUGGGAGCAAUAAGGCGGCUUAGCGCCGCCGAUGAGAGUACCAUCCGAAUAAGCAUCGGCUAACUCCGUGCCAGCCGCCGC